GGGAUUGCCUCAGUAACGGCGAGUGAAGCGGCAAAAGCUCAAAUUUGAAAUCUGGCUCUUUUAGGGUCCGAGUUGUAAUUUGUAGAAGAUGUUUCGGGUGUGGCUCCGGUUUAAGUUCUUUGGAAUAUUACAUCAUAGAGGGUGAGAAUCCCGUAUGUGACCGGCAGCCUUCGCCUAUGUGAAACUCUUUCGACGAGUCGAGUUGUUUGGGAAUGCAGCUCAAAAUGGGAGGUAUAUUUCUUCUAAAGCUAAAUAUUGGCCAGAGACCGAUAGCGCACAAGUAGAGUGAUCGAAAGAUGAAAAGCACUUUGGAAAGAGAGUUAAACAGUACGUGAAAUUGUUGAAAGGGAAGCGCUUGCAACCAGACUUGCACGCAGUUGAUCAUCCGGUGUUCUCACCGGGGCACUCUGCUGCGUUCAGGCCAGCAUCGGUUUUGGUGGUUGGAUAAAGGCCUUGGGAAUGUGGCUUCCUUCGGGGAGUGUUAUAGCCCUCGGUGCAAUGCAGCCUACCGGGACCGAGGACCGCGCUUCGGCUAGGAUGCUGGCGUAAUGGUYGUAAGCGACCCGUCUUGAAACACGGACCAAGGAGUCUAACAUCUAUGCGAGUGUUUGGGUGUUAAACCCAUACGCGUAAUGAAAGUGAACGGAGGUGAGAACCCUUAAGGGUGCAUCAUCGACCGGUCCUGAUGUCUUCGGAUGGAUCUGAGUAAGAGCAUAGCUGUUGGGACCCGAAAGAUGGUGAACUAUGCGUGAAUAGGGUGAAGCCAGAGGAAACUCUGGUGGAGGCUCGCAGCGGUUCUGACGUGCAAAUCGAUCGUCAAAUUUGCGCAUAGGGGCGAAAGACUUAUCGAACCAUUGAACACCUACUAGGUGGUUAAGAGGCCUUAGUACGGCCUAGUCCUCACCGAGGGCGACAUUGUCAAAUUGUUCGGGGACCUCCUGAUAACUCUCAGACUACCGCAGCCCGCCCGAAAGGGGGGUGCGCACCGGGCUAACGACCCUGGGGAUGGUAACAACGUCUGGGUAGGGAAGAUCCGCAGCCAAGUCCUACCGCCCUCCGGGGCCACGGAUGCAGUUCACAGACUUGAAGGCAGUGGGCCCCCCCGGGAGCUUAAGAUAAAGUCGAACCCCCCGGAGACGGGGUGGAGGGAGGAGAGUGCGUCGCACUCAGAG
rnacentral:rRNA from 1 species